rnacentral:tRNA from 1 species
CAGGGCGUAGCUACACACAAGCAUUCAGCUUACACCUGAAGAUAUCUGCUAUCCAUCAGAUCACCCUGA